rnacentral:rRNA from 1 species
UGGGGAAUAUUGCGCAAUGGGCGAAAGCCUGACGCAGCGACGCCGCGUGGAGGAUGAAGGUCUUCGGAUUGUAAACUUCUGUUAAGUGGGAAGAAAUAGCUACUUAUAAUACAAGUAGAAGAUGACGGUACCAUUAGAGAAAGCACCGGCUAAACUCGUGCCAGCAGCCGCGGUAAUACGAGUGGUGCAAGCGUUAUUCGGAAUCAUUGGGCGUAAAGGGUGUGUAGACGGUAUGUCAAGUCAACUGUUUAAUUCUCCGGCCUAACCGGAGUCCAGCGGUAGAAACUAACAUGCUAGAGGGUGGAAGAGAGAAGUGGAAUUCUCGGAGUAGCGGUAAAAUGCGUAGAUCUCGAGAGGAACACCAAUGGCGAAGGCAGCUUCUUGGUCCAUACCUGACGUUGAGACACGAAAGCGUGGGGAGCAAACAGGAUUAGAUACCCCUGUAGUCC